ACUCCUACGGGAGGCAGCAGUGGGGAAUAUUGGACAAUGGGCGAAAGCCUGAUCCAGCCAUGCCGCGUGGGUGAAGAAGGCCCUAGGGUUGUAAACCCCUUUCAGCGGGAAGAUAAUGACGGUACCCGCAGAAGAAGCCCCGGCUAACUCCGUUGCCAGCAGCCGCGGUAAUACGGAGGGGCUAGCGUUGUUCGGAAUUACUGGGCGUAAAGCGCGCGUAGGCGGACUUUCAAGUCAGGGGUGAAAUCCCGAGGCUCAACCUCGGAACUGCCUUUGAUACUGUAAGUCUUGAGUCCGAGAGAGGUGAGUGGAAUUCCUAGUGUAGAGGUGAAAUUCGUAGAUAUUAGGAAGAACACCAGUGGCGAAGGCGGCUCACUGGCUCGGUACUGACGCUGAGGCGCGAAAGCGUGGGGAGCAAACAGGAUUAGAUACCCUGGUAGCUACGAG
rnacentral:rRNA from 1 species